rnacentral:rRNA from 1 species
GACGUUGACGGGGAAGCGUUAUUGAUCAUUACUAGGCGUAAAGUGUGACUAGACUGUUCAAGAAAUUAUAAAUAAAAACAAAGGUAUAACGUCGAAGUUUUAUAAUACCUUGAUACUAGAGAUUUAGGCAGAUUUACGAUAAGCAUAGUCUAGAGAUAAAAUUCAAAGAGACUGUAAGGAUCUUCAGAAGCCGCGGCGGUUUUUCAUCUAAAUCUGACGUCGAAUCACUAAAGCACGAGUAUCAAUCAGGAUUGGAGACCCUAGUAGUUCGUGCCCUGAAUCUAUGGACAUUUUGUAUAAAAAAUUUUUUUUAUGUAUAAGCUAACGCGUAAAUGUCUCGCCUGGGGAGUAAAGCUGCAAAGGUAAAACUUAAAAAGAUUGGCGGGAGUUUGUAUAAAUGGUGGAGCGUGUGGUUUAAUUCGACAGUCCACGUUUAAUCUUACCAACGUAUUUUAAAUUAUUAUCGUAAAAUUUGACUAGAACUACCGAAAUAAUUUAAGAUGGUACUGCAUGGCUGUCGUCAGUUUUUGUUGUAAAAUACAAUAUUAAGUUAUUAAACAAACGCAACCCUGUUAAUAAGUUUUAUUUAGAUUUUAAAUUAAAGAAACAACUGCUUAAUCUAACUCUAUAUUACUUAUUUUUUAUGGCAAAGCGGAUAAUUUUAAAUUUUUAUUUAAACAAAGAAUUAAUUAUUAAUUAAUUCUUUGUUUAAGUACGAAAAAUGUUCUGUUCUGAGGAAGCGAGGGAGAAGUCAAGUCAUUAUGGUCUAAAUAUGUUGGGCUACACACGCGCUACAAGGUCAAAAACAAUUAGAUGCGACAGCGAAAUCUGAAGCAAAUCUUUAAAAAUUGACAAAGUUCAGAUUGUAAACUGAAACUCGUUUGCAUGAAGAUGGAAUCAUUAGUAAUCGUAAAUUAGCAUGUUACGGUGAAUGAUAUAUCAAACUUUGCACACACCGCCCAUCACGCUCGAAGAGUCUUGUUGUUUGGGAAUUUGACGAUUUUAAAAACGAAAUUAAAGAGUAGAACAUUUUUUUUUUUUAUUAAUUUAAAAAAAAAAAGUGUUAUUUUUAAUUAUUUUAAGCUUUUCAUCGCUAAACGUUUUUUUUUUUGUGGGUUAAGGCCGACACGGCAAUUUGAGUGAAGUUG